GAUGAACGCUGGCGGCGUGCUUAAUACAUGCAAGUCGAGCGAACAGACCAGGAGCUUGCUCCUUUCACGUUAGCGGCGGACGGGUGUGUAACACGUGGAUAACCUACUUAUCAGACUGGGAUCACUUCGGGAAACCGGAGCUAAUACCGGAUAAUAUAUUGCACCGCAUGGUUCAAUAGUGAAAGACGGCUUUGCUGUAACUUAUAGAUGGAUCUGCGCCGCUUUAGCUGGUUGGUACGGUAACGGCUUUUCAGGGCGACGAUGCGUAGGCGACCGGAGAGGGUGGUCGGCCGCCUGGGAACUGAAACAGGCACCAUACGCCUGCGGGAGGGCGCAGUAGCGAAUCGUCCGCAGUAGGGGAAAGCCUUACACAGCAGCGCCGCGUGAGUUGUGAAGAUGUUCGGAUCGUAAAGCUCUGUUAUUAGGUAAAAACAAAUGUGUAAUGAACUAUGCACGUCUUGACGGUACCGAAUCAGAAAGCCACGGCUAACUACGUG
rnacentral:rRNA from 1 species